UGGUGACAGUGGGCAGCGAGACAGCGAUGUCGAGCUAAUCUCCAAAAGCCAUCUCAGUUCGGAUUGCACUCUGCAACUCGAGUGCAUGAAGUUGGAAUCGCUAGUAAUCGCAGAUCAGCAUGCUGCGGUGAAUACGUUCCCGGGCCUUGUCCCCACCGCCCGUCACUUAAUGGGAGUUGGUUUUACCCGAAGGUAGUGCGCUAACCGCAAGGAGGCAGCUAACCACGGUAGGGUCAGCGACUGGGGUGAAGUCGUAACAAGGUAGCCGUAGGGGAACCUG
rnacentral:rRNA from 1 species